GACGAACGCUGGCGGCGCGCCUAACACAUGCAAGUCGAACGAGCAAAGAGGAGCUUGCUUCUCUGAGCGAGUGGCGAACGGGUGAGUAACGCGUGAGGAACCUGCCUCAAAGAGGGGGACAACAGUUGGAAACGACUGCUAAUACCGCAUAAGCCCACGGGUCGGCAUCGACCAGAGGGAAAAGGAGCAAUCCGCUUUGAGAUGGCCUCGCGUCCGAUUAGCUAGUUGGUGAGGUAAUGGCCCACCAAGGCGACGAUCGGUAGCCGGACUGAGAGGUUGAACGGCCACAUUGGGACUGAGACACGGCCCAGACUCCUACGGGAGGCAGCAGUGGGGAAUAUUGCACAAUGGGGGAAACCCUGAUGCAGCGACGCCGCGUGGAGGAAGAAGGUCUUCGGAUUGUAAACUCCUGUUGUUGGGGAAGAUAAUGACGGUACCCAACAAGGAAGUGACGGCUAACUACGUG
rnacentral:rRNA from 1 species